CGAGAAGAGGAUCCGUGAGGUUUCACCGUGAGACAAAAAGAGCCGAGAACCCCCGCUUUAAGGUCACUUGCCUGGUUUGAAAUCCCUACUCUGCCUCUAGCUGACGAGGCAGUACGGUACUGUGGAUAGAGUCAGCGGGGGUCGGAGACUCUGGGGUUCAAAUCUUCGCUCUGAUGCUCACUAUUUUCUUGACUUGGAGCAAGCUGCCCGCCCGGAGCAGACACUUAAGAGGGGUGGGCUAGAUCUAGCCAGAGGGGAGGCUAAAUGGGGGUGAACGGAGCGGGGUGAUGGACCAGACGACUUCCAGGGUCCAACCCCGACCCAGCAUCUCCUCUGUCUUUAUCUAGAAACCUCGGGGCAGAGAGAGCCGCGGGAUGCUCUGGGAAACUCCCAAGUCUCUGGGGAUGCUCUCCACUUUGGAGCGCCUCUCCAGGGUCCCUGCCCGGGAGAAGCAAGACGGGGGAUAUAUAAGCCAGAGAAGCCGGCGACCCCGAGGCAGACGCAGCGGCAGCGGGCAGCGGCGGCCAGCUGGGAGUGAGGGCAGCGGCGCAGGAGCCGGAGCCGACCGCCUACCAGGCAGUAGCAUUAGCGGCAGCGGCAGCGGCAGCGGCAGCGGCAGCAGCAGCAUCCCAGGGCCAGCCUCAGUAGCAGCAGCAGUGAGAAGGGGCCCCGAGCAGCCUCUGCCUCCCCCCCCCAUCCCCACGUUCCCAGCCCCGACCGGGGGCGUCCCGCCCAGCCGGCCCCUAGACGGGGAGGCCCACCGCUGACCCCCCCUCCCCCCGCAGCCCCCAGCGGGCCGUCCCUUCCCAGUCGCCCGCCGCCCCGGCAGCAGAUUGGAUCCCCCGGCCGGCGGACGUCGGGCCGCGCCCCGGGGGGAGCCGCCGGUUCCCAGCUCGCCCGGCCCGGGGGGCGUCCGCGCCUGCACGCCGCCGCCCACCUCCGGCACCUCCCCAGAGCCGGGCCCCGGGCCGAGCGGCAGCCCGAUGGCGGCAGCGGCGGCCGCGGCAGCCAAGCCGCCCGAGCUGAUGGGCAUCUGCUCCAGCUACCAGGCGGUCAUGCCCCACUUCGUGUGCCUGGCCGACGAAUUUCCGCAGCCCGCGCUGCCCACUAAGCUGCCCCGGGGCAAGGGCAAGCUGCGGCGGCCCCGCCAGUCGCGCUUCAAGACCCAGCCCGUGACGUUCGACGAGAUCCAGGAGGUGGAGGAAGAGGGGGUGUCCCCCAUGGAGGAGGAGAAGGCCAAGAAGUCGUUCCUGCAGUCGCUCGAGUGCCUGCGCCGGAGCACCCAGAACCUCAGCCUGCCGCGGGAGCAGCUCGGCAGCUGCAAGAUGCGGAACAGCCUGGACUCCAGCGACUCGGACUCGGCGCUCUGAGCCCGCCCCUCCCCCCUCCGCCCUCCCAGCCAAGGACUUGAUUUGGCCCCGGCCCUUGUGGGGGGGCUGCCCGCCGAGCCCCGGUCUCUGCUUCUACACUGGCCGAGCUGCGAACUCGUUGCCCUUCUCCGGGCGCUUCUCCGGGGCCGGGACUUGGAGCGAGGCGGGGCAAAUGCCCCGAUUAGGCAGCCUGGGGGGGCCAAAAGAAGGGCUCCCCCUCCCCGUCCCCACUUUUCUUCUUUUCUUUUACUUUGCCCGAGAGAGAGAAGAGAGAAGAGAGGAGAGAGAGAGAGAGAGAGAGAGAGAGAGAGAGAGAGAGAGAGAGAGGUUUUCUAGGAGAGCCGCUGUGUAUUUGUCUCUAAUUGUAGGGAGCUCCGGUUUCCAUCUAUCCCCCCUUCCCUGCUCCCCAGCACACGGCGCCCCAAUACUUUUCUACCAGCCCGCCGCGAAGAUGGGACUUGGGCUACCGCGAAGCUUCCGGAGUCUAUUUAUUUUUGCAUUUCAAUCGUAAACUGCAUUUAUUUAAUACUCUUUCUACCUUGAUGUGUCUGUGAGGUUUCCAGAACAGAGAAAUAAAACCAUAUAUUUGCACAGUGCAUUCGUUAUUCUGAGGGUAUCUGUCCGUCGAUCUGGCUGUCUGCAGCGCCCUACUGCUGGCCGUGCUCUGUGGGUGUGUGUGUGUGCGUGUGUGUGCGUGUGUGUGCGCGCGGGGGGGCGGGGGGUGGGGAGGCGGGCGGGGUGCGGAGCUGGGGCAGGGGUCCUUGAAGAGACAGCAACGGAGACACUGAGACCCGGUCAGUUCCACUAAAAGUCCCCCUUCCCCAGUCCCCCUGUGUCCAUCCGGGUCUUGAUUCAAAUUCAAUCCAAGCCCCGUCCUCUGUCUGGGAUGAGUAAAUCUGUCCUGGAUCGAACUUCCUCUCCUCAGGCUCGGGCACCCGGUCCAGGAUCUGGGUGCGAAGCCCCCCAGCUGAUCUAAGAAUUACACUUGUCAUGUGUGUAGAGUUUUACAACCGCUCUCUCGUUUGGGUCUCCAUGCAACCCAAGGGAGAUAGAAGCUUUCCAUAUUACUUUCAUUUGACAGAUGAAACAGAGACUGGAAACAAGCCCACCCAGCGCGCCCAGGAAGGGUGUCUGAGGCCAAUGGCUUUCCAAGACAGGCUUUUGGCCCUGGGUUCAAAUUCUUACUCGGUCCUUAAUAGCUGUGUGACUUCUGACAAACCCCAUCUUUGAUGUGGACCCCGUUUUCCUCUUUUGCCUAAUGAGAGGCUUGAGCCACAUGAAGGUGUCUUUCCAACCCUCCCCUUUCUGGAAGGGAAACAAGGAGCGCUGUUGGGACAGUUGUGUCUCACCUGAGAAAGGGGCAAGUCCUCUCCAGGGUUUCCUCUCUAGGAAGGAAGUCAUCAUUUCAGCUCAGCUUGGGCAGGGAGCCUGGGGCGCUGUUUUGGGGAAGCCCGGCUGGUCUGGGCUACAAGACCGAGGCCUAGGGAGCUGGCGCGUAUGGGGGCCGUCCCAGUAGUUACAGUCCCCGAGACCUGGGCUUGAGCGUCCACGCUGGGUCAGGAGCUGUCACCUUGCCUUAAUGCUGACUCAGUGGAAAUGCAAAGAACAGCUGUCCUGGAUUCUUUUCUUCCUCUCCCGGCUUGCUCUCUCUGCUCCCUCCCCCACUCUUUCUUUGCUUCUGAUUCUUAAGAUUGAUCUUCACACAGAGGCCUCCCCGCCCACCCAAGGAUGGCCGGCGGGCAGCCUCUGGGCACUGUCUGCCCUUAUUUCCUAUCCUGUUGUCUCUGUGUCUCCAGACCUCCAGUUCAGGUUCUGAACAGCUGUCAGUUAAC
ensembl:lncRNA